rnacentral:rRNA from 1 species
UACGAAGGGGGCUGGCGUUGCUCGGAAUCACUGGGCGUAAAGGGUGCGUAGGCGGGUCUUUAAGUCAGGGGUGAAAUCCUGGAGCUCAACUCCAGAACUGCCUUUGAUACUGAAGAUCUUGAGUUCGGGAGAGGUGAGUGGAACUGCGAGUGUAGAGGUGAAAUUCGUAGAUAUUCGCAAGAACACCAGUGGCGAAGGCGGCUCACUGGCCCGAUACUGACGCUGAGGUGCGAAAGCGUGGGGAGCAAACAGG